AAUAUAGUGUACAUAUUUAAGAUCUAGUAUGUGUUUUCAGUAGAUUCAUGGACUGCUGGAUGACUGUCCAUGGUGAAGGCUAGGACAACAUGCCAACUCCAUGCAGUGGACCAGACUGGUGCUCUCACAUAUUCAUACUGGCUAAAAGGGCAGCUGAUCAAAAACCAAUCAUGGAAGACCCGCAUUAAAACAAGUACAUGGUUGCCUUCUCCAUGAGCAGGUCUGCAGUGGUAAUUUUCCAGCACCCUUAAGAAGAUUCCAAAGUUGAACACAAACAAAUUGCUGUCAACCUGGUACACCUUCCCUGAUGUCAAUGAUUAAGAAAGAUAUUCAAGAGGUGUUUUGUUUUGUUUUUUAAAAAAGAGAAUUCGGUUCAGUUAUCAUUGUUCAGGGGACAGAAAUAAAACAGCCUUCCUGUUUAGAAGAACUCUUUGUCAUG